GCUGGGCGCAGAGGCACACACCUGUAAUCCCAGCGGCUUGGGAGGCUGAGACAGGAGGAUCGUGAGUUCAAAGCCAGCUUCAGCAACUGUGAGGCACUAAGCAACUCAGUGAGACCCUGUCUCUA
rnacentral:sRNA from 1 species